rnacentral:rRNA from 1 species
GGGCCUGCGGCCUAUCAGCUAGCUGGGGGGGUAGUGGCCCACCAGGGCGAUGACGGGUAGCUGGUCUGAGAGGACGAUCAGCCACACGGGGACUGAGACACGGCCCCGACUCCUACGGGAGGCAGCAGCAAGGAAUUUUCCGCAAUGGGCGCAAGCCUGACGGAGCGACGCCGCGUGGAGGAAGACACUUUUCGGAGCGUAAACUCCUUUUCUGGGGGAUGAAGGCAGUGACAGUACCCCAGGAAGAAGGACCGGCUAACUACGUGCCAGCAGCCGCGGUAAGACGUAGGGUCCGAGCGUUGUCCGGAGUUACUGGGCGUAAAGGGCGCGUAGGCGGUUCCAUGCGUCCCACGUGAAAGCCCCUGGCUCAACCAGGGAGGGUCGUGGGAAACGGGGGAACUGGAGGCAGAGAGAGGCUGGUGGAAUUCCCGGAGUAGUGGUGAAAUGCGUAGAUAUCGGGAGGAACACCGGUGGCGAAGGCGGCCAGCUGGCUCUGACCUGACGCUGAGGCGCGAAGGCGUGGGGAGCGAACGGGAUUAGAUACCCCGGUAGUCCACGCAGUAAACGAUGUGGACUAGGUGUGGGGGGAGUUGACCCCCUCCGUGCCGGCGCAAACGCAGUAAGUCCACCGCCUGGGGAGUACGGCCGCAAGGCUAAAACUCAAAUGAAUUGACGG